rnacentral:rRNA from 1 species
AUUGAACGCUGGCGGCAUGCCUUACACAUGCAAAUCGAACGGUAACGGGCCUUCGGGUGCCGACGAGUGGCGAACGGGUGAGUAAUACAUCGGAACGUGCCCGAUCGUGGGGGAUAACGAGGCGAAAGCUUUGCUAAUACCGCAUACGAUCUACGGAUGAAAGCAGGGGACCGCAAGACCUUGCGCGGCCGGAGCGGCCGAUGGCAGAUUAGGUAGUUGGUGGGAUAAAGGCUUACCAAGCCGACGAUCUGUAGCUGGUCUGAGAGGAUGAUCAGCCACACUGGAACUGAGACACGGCCCAGACUCCUACGGGAGGCAGCAGUGGGGAAUUUUGGACAAUGGGCGCAAGCCUGAUCCAGCCAUGCCGCGUGCAGGAUGAAGGCCUUCGGGUUGUAAACUGAUUUUGUACGGAACGAAAAGCCUUCUUUUAAUACAGGAGGGUCAUGACGGUACCGUAAGAAUAAGCACCGGCUAACUACGUG